GAGGCAAUAGCUCAAUAGGUAGAGCAUACCGCUCAUAACGGUCAGCUUGGUGGUUCGAAUCCACCUUGCCUCA
rfam:Rhizophagus irregularis DAOM 181602 strain DAOM 197198 GLOINscaffold_4734_Cont4731 mitochondrial, whole genome shotgun sequence.